GGGACAUAGAUACUUGAUUGGACUUGGUACUCCAAUAUUCCUGCGCUGUCGAUAUAUUAAGAAAUACAGGGAAUACCAGGAAGGACAAAAAUGUUGUCCAUAUAUGGAAAUAUAUACUACCAAUCAUCAGCGAGGAUUUGAGUCACGUGGAAAGGGGGUUCUCAGAAACGGAUUGGUUGUUGCUAUAUAAUGUGUCACAGAGGCGAUCAGUGUUAUACCGGACAAGACAUCAACUCUACACCAACUCUACACAUUCAAGAACACUAGAGAAUGGGGAAAUACAAGAAUACUGCAAACAGCAAAAUGGCUGACAGUGACGCUCAAAAAGACGAGGACAAUCACGCAACCGCAACAACUCUGAGUAUCAUGGGCACCAGUCAGGCUACGGCGGGUCUGGUAGCAAGUGAUGACGUUGCACUCGGUGAUUGGUUAACACAGACAAUGUAGACACGUGUAUGUGGCACGUGACAUUGUGAACAAUAGUGAUUAUCCUGUGCUAUGGUUGUCCAGUCAAAAUAUAAAAAAGUGAAAAAGUAAAUAUCUUUCAAUAAAAAAAAUUAUAUUUGUAGAUGUAACACAUAUGUAGUAUAUGUAAUAAACAGGAUGUGAAUCCA